GAUGAACGCUGGCGGCGUGCCUAAUACAUGCAAGUCGAGCGAACAGAUGAGGAGCUUGCUCCUCUGACGUUAGCGGCGGACGGGUGAGUAACACGUGGAUAACCUACCUAUAAGACUGGGAUAACUUCGGGAAACCGGAGCUAAUACCGGAUAAUAUAUUGAACCGCAUGGUUCAAUAGUGAAAGACGGUUUUGCUGUCACUUAUAGAUGGAUCCGCGCCGCAUUAGCUAGUUGGUAAGGUAACGGCUUACCAAGGCAACGAUGCGUAGCCGUCCUGAGAGGGUGAUCGGCCACACUGGAACUGAGACACGGUCCAGACUCCUACGGGAGGCAGCAGUAGGGAAUCUUCCGCAAUGGGCGAAAGCUUGACGGAGCAACGCCGCGUGAGUGAUGAAGGUCUUCGGAUCGUAAAACUCUGUUAUUAGGGAAGAACAAAUGUGUAAGUAACUAUGCACGUCUUGACGGUACCUAAUCAGAAAGCCACGGCUAACUACGUG
rnacentral:rRNA from 1 species